rnacentral:misc_RNA from 1 species
ACACCUCAACUCUCAUGGUUUGCUGUGAUGAGCUUGGACUCUGGGGGUUUUGCUGGCCUGUGGUCAGCUCCCCUCAAAUGAAUCAGCCUCCCAGUGUUUGGUGGCAUCACGGGUGUGAUAAAUAUCUAUGCUCGUGGUUGUCUGCCAGGUAACCUUUGGUGACAAAGGUUUGCUGGAGCUCACAGAUGUCUCUCCUCAGUGAGGACAGCUUUUUGAAC